GACGAACGCUGGCGGCGUGCUUAACACAUGCAAGUAGGACGCAGAUGCGAACGGGGGAGUAACGCGUCGGUAACUAGAUAUUAGAGGGGGAUAACUAUUGGAAACGAUAGCUAAUACCGCAUACUAGUAGAUGGACCUGAGUUGUAUUGGCUAGUAGUGUGGGUAAUGGCCUACCUAGGCAACGAUACAUAGCCUCCCUUAGAAGGUGAACGGCCACACUGGGACUGGGACAACGGCCAGACUCCCUCGGGAAGCAGCAGUAGGGAAACUUCGGCAAUUGGGGGAACCCUGACCGAGCAACGCCGCGUGGGUGAAGAAGGUUUUCCGAUCGUAAAGCUCUGUUGUUAAGGGAGCGGUACUUAACCAGAAAGGGACGGCUAACUACGUGCCAGCAGCCGCGGUAAUUC
rnacentral:rRNA from 1 species